UGGUGCCAGCAGCCGCGGUAAUUCCAGCUCCAAUAGCGUAUAUUAAAGUUGUUGCAGUUAAAAAGCUCGUAGUUGAAUUUCGGGAUUAGUACGUUGGUCGUGCCUUAGGUACGUACUGGUGUUACUGGUUCCUACCUUCUGACGAACCAUCAUGUCAUUAAUUUGGUGUGGCGGGGAAUUAGGACUGUUACUUUGAAAAAAUUAGAGUGUUUAAAGCAGGCUCGCGCUUGAAUACAUUAGCAUGGAAUAAUGAAAUAGGACGUUGACCCUAUUUUGUUGGUUUCUAGGAUUGACGUAAUGAUUAAUAGGGAUAGUUGGGGGCAUUAGUAUUCAAUUGUCAGAGGUGAAAUUCUUGGAUUUAUUGAAGACUAACUACUGCGAAAGCAUUUGCCAAGGAUGCUUUCAUUAAUCAAGAACGAAAGUUAGGGGAUCGAAGACGAUCAGAUACCGUCGUAGUCUUAACCAUAAACUAUGCCGACUAGGGA
rnacentral:rRNA from 1 species